rnacentral:rRNA from 1 species
UACGAAGGGGGCUAGCGUUGUUCGGAAUUACUGGGCGUAAAGCGCACGUAGGCGGAUAUUUAAGUCAGGGGUGAAAUCCCGGGGCUCAACCCCGGAACUGCCUUUGAUACUGGGUAUCUCGAGUCCGAGAGAGGUGAGUGGAAUUCCGAGUGUAGAGGUGAAAUUCGUAGAUAUUCGGAGGAACACCAGUGGCAAAGGCGGCUCACUGGCUCGGUACUGACGCUGAGGUGCGAAAGCGUGGGGAGCAAACAGG